rnacentral:lncRNA from 1 species
CAGCGCCUAUGUUCUGGGCAGGUAGACAAGGCCACUCCAAUACUUAGCUCAUGUCACAGUAAGCUUUGCGAUGUAUAGCAAGGAGAGGAAAGCCCCUAUUUCUGACAACUGUGGAUGGGAACAGAACACUGGGGAUCACGUCUGAUGGGUCUCUGUUUCUGUUUUGCCUUCACAAAAUUACUAUAUUGCUAUGGACUUUUGUUGGGGGAAUUAAGAAAAGCAUGACAAUCUUCUCUGAGUUUGUCUCAGAAACCACACACUGCACAUAGCCCGCACAGCCCUCCUGCCUCAACUCAGGCUCUGGGUCUUUCCCCACCCCACUACCCCCCAGCUUCUGCCCCACACCUUCCUGCUCUGAGAGGACCACAAACCAUAAGGCUGCCAGAGAACAAAUGUCCAGAGUUCCUAAUGUCAUCCAGUAGUGUCUGCUGUCUUGACCCUUCAGUGAAUCCUCCUGUGAGCAUGAAGCCAUUCCCUGGGCUCCAGGGUCAAGGCAGUAAUGGUAUCUCUACCACACACCCCAAACCCCUCAGCUCCCUUUCCCCAGAGGAAGCAAAACAGCUUUCCUGGUUUGUGCAGUUCGGGCGCUGGAAGCCUCUUACCCUAGGGGAAUCAGCUGCCACCCAACCGCAGUACACAGAUGUUACCUCUACCCGCAAAAACCCUUUUCCUUCUUUCCCUGGGAUUUUCCUAAAAAGCUGAGCUGUAACAUAUGUACAGUUGAGGUGUAUUUGCAUAAAGUGUAUAAAUCUUAUAGUAGCUGCCGUCCUGGUCAAGAUAGAAAACAUUCCAACAUUCCAGUCACCCCGGAAGCUUCGCCGGUGAAUCUCCCUCAUGUAAAAGCAACCACUAGCAUGGCUUCUGUCACUGUACUUUGGGUCAUAUGGAAUGCACUUUUGAUCUUGGCCCCUUUCUCAUCCCCUGAUGCUUUUGUGAUUCAUCCGUGUCAUUGUGCAUGUUGGACAUUUGUUCCUUUUUAUUGCUGAGUAGCAUUUCAUUAAAGAGAUGUAUCUAUUUGUUUAGUCACUCUGCUGGUAGACAGUUGGCUUGUUUCUGGGUUUGGCUGAUUGUAAAUAAAGUUGCUAUAAACAUC